rnacentral:snoRNA from 1 species
CACCACGGUGAUGAGCCCUAACACAUCUGUAAUGAUUCUUGCGGUCAUGAUCAUGAUC